CAACAUUCGUAACAAGGUUUCCGUAGGUGAACCAGCGGAGGGAUCAUU
rnacentral:rRNA from 1 species